CAAGCUUUCGCAAUUUUGCAGUGUCAUUCUUGACAGAAAAACAUACUUGUCACAUUCUUUUUAUUUCCAGAAAAACAUCUUUCAGAUGUAUGAGAAAUUGAUUGGAGCCUGUCUGGAAAACGGCAGCCACUGGACCUUGUUUUUUUGUGACAUACCCAAGAGGACCAUAGUCUAUAUGAAUUCAUUUGGAGAGUCGGAGGUCAGAAAAAGUGCGGUGUUGAAAAACUGGAGCUCAUUUGCUUCAGCAAGAGGCUGCACUGGAGAGUGGACUUUGUCACAUGUGAGCCACCCACAUCAACAGGAUGGGAACUCAUGUGGAGUGCAUGUCAUAAUGGUACUGAAAACUAUAGCUUUAACCUAUGUAAGUAAGGUUUACAUUUUUGCCUAUUCAG